AUACGUAGGUGGCAAGCGUUGUCCGGAAUUAUUGGGCGUAAAGCGCGCGCAGGCGGUCCUUUAAGUCUGAUGUGAAAGCCCACGGCUCAACCGAGGAGGGUCAUUGGAAACUGGGGGACUUGAGUGCAGAAGAGGAAAGUGGAAUUCCAAGUGUAGCGGUGAAAUGCGUAGAGAUUUGGAGGAACACCAGUGGCGAAGGCGACUUUCUGGUCUGUAACUGACGCUGAGGCGCGAAAGCGUGGGGAGCAAACAGGAUUAGAUACCCUGGUAGUCCACGCCGUAAACGAUGAGUGCUAAGUGUUAGGGGGUUUCCGCCCCUUAGUGCUGCAGCUAACGCAUUAAGCACUCCGCCUGGGGAGUACGGUCGCAAGACUGAAACUCAAAUGAAUUGACGGGG
rnacentral:rRNA from 1 species